UUUCCGUAGGUGAACCUGCGGAAGGAUCAUUCAUAAUCAGUGUUUUAUGGCACUCUUUUAAAUCCAUAUCCACCUUGUGUGCAAUGUCAGGGUUGAUUUUUCUCUCGAGAGGAUCAACCUCAAACAACAACUAUAUCUCAACUCUUUGUCUGAAAAAUAUUAUGAAUAAAACAAUUAAAAAUACAACUUUCAACAACGGAUCUCUUGGCUCUC
rnacentral:misc_RNA from 1 species